AUUGAACGCUGGCGGCAGGCCUAACACAUGCAAGUCGAGCGGAUGAAGGGAGCUUGCUCCUGGAUUCAGCGGCGGACGGGUGAGUAAUGCCUAGGAAUCUGCCUGGUAGUGGGGGAUAACGUCCGGAAACGGGCGCUAAUACCGCAUACGUCCUGAGGGAGAAAGUGGGGGAUCUUCGGACCUCACGCUAUCAGAUGAGCCUAGGUCGGAUUAGCUAGUUGGUGGGGUAAAGGCCUACCAAGGCGACGAUCCGUAUCUGGUCUGAGAGGAUGAUCAGUCACACUGGAACUGAGACACGGUCCAGACUCCUACGGGAGGCAGCAGUGGGGAAUAUUGGACAAUGGGCGAAAGCCUGAUCCAGCCAUGCCGCGUGUGUGAAGACGGUCUUCGGAUUGUAAAGCACUUUAAGUUGGGAGGAAGGGCAGUAAGUUAAUACCUUGCUGUUUUGACGUUACCAACAGAAUAAGCACCGGCUAACUUCGUG
rnacentral:rRNA from 1 species